rnacentral:rRNA from 1 species
UAUGUGAUCGUCUCUCGCAUAUCAAUAAGCGGAGGAAAAGAAACUAACAAGGAUUCCCCUAGUAACGGCGAGUGAAGCAGGAAGAGCUCAAAUUUGAAAUCUUAAAGGGUUUCCCUUUACGAAUUGUAGUUUAAAGAAGUGUUUUCUGUUGAGGUUUUGGUAAAAGUUCUUUGGAAUAGGACAUCAUAGAGGGUGAGAAUCCCGUAUUUGACCUUUACUUUCAACUUUGUGAUACACUUUCAAAGAGUCGGAUUGUUUGGGAAUGCAGUCCAAAAUGGGUGGUAAAUUUCAUCUAAAGCUAAAUAUUGGCGAGAGACCGAUAGCGAACAAGUACCGUGAGGGAAAGAUGAAAAGAACUUUGAAAAGAGAGUUAAACGGUACGUGAAAUUGUCAAAAGGGAAGCGUUUGACACCAGUGUUGUUUUUCUGAAAAUCAAUUAAAGAACUGUUUAUGCUAAGCUUGUUUAGACUUUAUCAGCUAUCUGUUUAGUUUUGAGCUUUUCUUUAAUGCACUUUUUCAGUUAACAAGUCAACAUCAAUUUCUUUUGCUGUAAAAAAGCUUGAGGAAGGUGGCUUGAGAUUCGUCUUAAGUGUUUAUAGCCUCUUGCCUAUGCAGUCGGAGAGAUUGAGGUCUGCAGCGUAGAUCCUUCGGGGCUAAAUGCAUUUGUGCUAAGUUAUAGCAUUUUAUAGACAACUUGUUGACUAUGAUUUGUCUUGUAGCUUACUCGCUUAUGUUAUUCUUACCUACGCUUAGGAUGUUGAUAUGCAUGACUGAUAU